CCUACGGGUGGCAGCAGUGGGGAAUAUUGCACAAUGGGGGAAACCCUGAUGCAGCGACGCCGCGUGAGUGAAGAAGUAGGUCGGUAGGUAAAGCUCGAUCAGCAGGGAAGAAAAUGACGGUAACUGAUGAAGAAGCCUCGGCGAACGACGGGCCAGCAGCCGCGGUAAUACGUAGCGGGCAAGCGUUAUCCGGAUUUACUGGGUGUAAAGGGAGCGUAGACGGCAGCACAAGUCUGGAGUGAAAUGCCGGGGCUUAACCCCGGAACUGCUUUGGAAACUGUGCAGCUAGAGUGCAGGAGAGGUAAGUGGAAUUCCUAGUGUAGCGGUGAAAUGCGUAGAUAUUAGGAGGAACACCAGUGGCGAAGGCGGCUUACUGGACUGUAACUGACGUUGAGGCUCGAAAGCGUGGGGAGCAAACAGGAUUAGAUACCCGGGUAGUC
rnacentral:rRNA from 1 species